GCAUGUCAUAUCAAAUCACGUGCAGGCCAGAAAUCUUUUAUUUGCAUUGGGGGAUGGGUGUGACAGGGUUAUAGGUGUUCCGUGCAGAUACUUCAAAAUGCUCUACAUAAUUAGCAAAAGGCUGCACGUACUAAUAUUGGAUAAUUACAAAUACCUAUUUCGGAUGCGUGCCAUUAAAUGAGUCUAGACAUAAGCUUGGCUAUGGCUAAACAAAUGGAAAUAGUUUGUUGAUGGGUGUCUCUGAAAUGCAGGACUCGUGCCUGCUCUCCAAACAAUUAAGUAAAUGGAAAGUAGGUUCGUGAUGCAUAUGAUUUCUUUUGAGCUAGACCGAUCUAUGUUCAUUGCAGUCCCAUUUCUGUUUUUGUUGAACUGUGGUCUUGCACCUGUGCUAAAAUUAAUCACCCUUGGCUCACCUAACUCAACUGUCAGUUCAGCCCUGCCUUGCCGGGUCUUAAAAGAAUUCUAAAUUGUUUGGAAGAUGAUAUGACCAAUUUUUUUGCAAGAUUACCAGGGUAAACAUGAAUGAGUUGUAUAUUUGCAUUUAGAAAAGAGUACAAUACUUUGAUGCGGAGACCCCUUAAAAGUUCCUUUUUUAUGUUUUGAUCAUCAGAUUCUGGGGACUGAUGAAUUAAAUUCUUAUCUAAACAAGUAUAGAUUGGAAUUAGAUCCUCAUCUUGCAGCCCUUGUUGGACGACAUAGUAGGAAACCAUGGUCGAGGUUUAUUAAUUCUGAAAGCCAACAUCUCGCAGGCCCCGAGGCGGUUGAUUUUGUUGACAAACUGCUCCGCUACGAUCAUCAGGAAAGACCAACUGCAAAAGAAGCAAUGGCUCAUCCGUAUUUUCAUCCUAUACGAAAUGCUGAAAGCAGUAGAAUCCGCACUCACUAAAAGAUUUAGCAUCCAAUGGACCAAGUUCUCUGGUGACAGCCAAUUAUUGUGAACCGCUUCAAUUAGUUGAGUUGCUGGUUAUACUAGGUAGUUCUCUGUAUGCCAGCUUCUUGUUAACUGUAUUAUCUCUUUUAGCUGUGUGAGACCUGAAAGAAAAAGCAAAAUUCAAUUUGUUUUCUCCGUUCCUGGAUUACUUUCCUCUUAAUUUAUUUUCUUUUCUCUUAUUUUUUGUGCUUCUGAAGUAUAACUAUAUGAAUUCGGUCGGAGUGUAAUGUGUUGUUGAAACAUUAAGAAAUACUGAGCAGAUGGAUGGCUUUCCCUAGUAUUUCCAAAACGUCAGAUGACUCAAGGACUAUAUAAGUAUUACUAUGGUCCUACCUAGGUUUGAGAAUAUGUUUUCCUUUUGCUACCACAAAGAAAGGAUAUGGUAAUGUACUGUACAAACAUUUACAAACCCAUGAACGCACAUGUAUUCAUAUCUAAGAACAUGGUUUUCUUUGAA